rnacentral:lncRNA from 1 species
AUGCCUCAGUUUCCCUCCCCGUGCCUCAGUCCCUCCUCGUACCUCAGUUUCCCUCCCUGUGCCUCAGUUUCCCUCCCCGUGCCUCAGUUUCCCUCCCCGUGCCUCAGUUUCCCUUCCCGUGCCUCAGUUUCCCUCCCUGUGCCUCAGUUUCCCUCUCCGUGCCUCAAUUUCCCUCCCCGUGCCUCAGUUUCCCUCCCCGUGCCUCAAUUUCCCUCCCCGUGCCUCAGUUUCCCUCCCCGUGUCUCAGUUUCCCUCCCCGUGCCUCAAUUUCCUUCCCCGUGCCUCAGUUUCCCUCCCCGUGCCUCAGUUUCCCUCGCUGUGCCUCAGUUUCCCUCCCCGUGCCUCAGUCCCUCCUCGUACCUCAGUUUCCCUCCCCGUGCCUCAGUUUCCCUCCCCGUGCCUCAUUUUCCCUCGCUGUGCCUCAGUUUUCUUUCCCGUGCCUCAGUUUCCCUCUCCAUGCCUCAGUUUCCCUCCUUGUGCCUCAGUUUCCCUCCCUGUGCCUCAGUUUCCCUCCCCGUGCCUCAGUUUUCUUUCCCGUGCCUCAGUUUCCCUCCCCGUGCCUCAGUUUCCCUCCUUGUGCCUCAGUUUCCCUCUCUGUGCCUCAGUUUCCCUCCCCGUGCCUCAGUUUCCCUCCUUGUGCCUCAGUUUCCCUCCCCGUGCCUCAGUUUCCCUCCCCGUGCCUCAGUUUCCCUCCCCGUGCCUCAGUUUCCCUCCUCGUACCUCAGUUUCCCUCUCCAUGCCUCAGUUUCCCUCCCCGUGCCUCAGUUUCCUUCCCCGUGCCUCAGUUUCCCUCUCUGUGCCUCAGUUUCCCUCCCCGUGCCUCAGUUUCCCUCCCCGUCCCUCACACCCCUCCCCGUGCCUCAGUUUCCCUCCCCACACUCCCAGCACCGCGCAGAGCCGUGUCCCACAGUGUCCCCUCCCUUUUAUUGUGAUAUGCCGCAUCCCCCCCUCCCCACACCGGGGGCACGGGCUGGGGAGGAAAACUCAAUAAAUACUCCAGCAUCAACCCCCCCACUCCCCUUAAAACCCACCAACACCAAAAACCAAAAACCAAACCUCACCACCCACCCCCCUCCCCGCUCUCCCCGCGCCCCCACCGGGGGGUGA